AGACUGAUUAAUUACAUGCUUAAAGUUUACACUGGAAAACCAUUAUUCUUGCUAGGAUUGUUUCUGAAUGUUUCAGAUUCAUGGCUUUCUGCUCUGAUUUUUACAGGCCAAAACGAGGCAGCGUUCCCAAAUGUGAAGCAACAACCCGCAGAAAGAUGAGCAGGAGCAGAUCGGGGAUGAAGCCAAGAUCUACGAUGGUGAUUCUUCCAAUAAAAUGAUGCAGGUGGCCAAUAGCUUGAUGGUGCCGUCGAUAUUGUCUCCUCCAGCGUCAAGGAACCAGCUAAAAACGUCAUCGUCAAGCAAGCGACGCUGAGCAAAUGUCAGGUGCCAUCACGCACCAUGGCGUGGCAAUCAGAUUGGCAAUAUGUUCGAUGCAGCGUACAAUGCCAAUGAUCAGUUCAUUUUUGUGGAUUGUUGUGGGGGAUUGAGGCUUUAAAGCACAUGAAUUGCAGCAGGAAUUGUUCAGGAUGCUACUGCUGUUGCUACUUGGCGCGUUACCAUCACCGGGAGGAGCGACGGCCAUCCACAUCGCCAUUGCCAUCGUCCUUCAGAUGGUUUACGUCUUAACUGUCUACAACAAAAACGAUAAACAGCACCGCAUCCGGGUACUAAUGUUGGUGUGAGCUCAAGGCAAAAGGCAAAACCCAUUUGUAGUUUCAGCUUUACGGGGCGUUGUCAGCAAUGAUUGAUGAGGUAAUUGGUUGAGCUACUUUUGGAAGGGGCGACGGAAAUCAUAAAAACUACGAUUGCAAUGGAGAUUCAACAUAUAGAAAGAUGGAAGAGGUUCCGAUUCUCUCUCCCCCAUCCAAUUUCUUUUGAUUUAAUCCCCAGUCUUAUUUAUCUAUGCCUACAUGGUGUGCGACUUCAAGGAAAGAUUACUCUGUAAUAUUAGUGCUUCACUGCCUACUCAAUAGUGUCCUUUUUUCUUAUGAAAUUUAGCUGCAGUCAUGGAUCACUUACAUGUACAUUAUGUUACAUCUCACGGUUAUCUGACUUUCUUACGCAAUAUAUAUCUCUGUCAUUCACAUAUAUAUGCUUAAUUCGUGGAGAAAUAUAUCUUUUGCUAUAACAUAAUGUCGAUGAUGAUGGCCAUAGAACCAGCCAGCUCACCUGUACUAACCUUCUUAAAAGAUAGAUCUAUGGCCCUUUAGGUUAUUUGCUAGGCAUAUCAUCUAAUCCAAUUUACUUACAGUCAAGUGCAUCCCAUCAAUCACAUCAAUAAAAGAAUAUAUGGUAUUAGAGUCCGUCAGAGAUUUUUGUUCUGCUAUGCCCUUUCAGAUCCUGAUUCAAUAACUUUCUUAUAAGUUUCUUUAUUUUGUCCUAUUAGAUUCCAAAUCUGACUUUGGGCGAUUGCUUGAGGGAGUUUCCACUUCUUUUUGUGU